GACUGCUCCUGUGGCCUAGUGGUUUGAGCAUCCGCCUUGGGUGCAGGAGGUCAAUGGUUCAAACCCAGGCAGAGUCA